rnacentral:rRNA from 1 species
UACGUAGGGUGCGAGCGUUAAUCGGAAUUACUGGGCGUAAAGCGUGCGCAGGCGGUGCUGUAAGACCGAUGUGAAAUCCCCGGGCUUAACCUGGGAACUGCAUUGGUGACUGCAGCGCUGGAGUAUGGCAGAGGGGGGUGGAAUUCCACGUGUAGCAGUGAAAUGCGUAGAGAUGUGGAGGAACACCGAUGGCGAAGGCAGCCCCCUGGGACAAUACUGACGCUCAUGCACGAAAGCGUGGGGAGCAAACAGG